rnacentral:lncRNA from 1 species
UUCAAGACAAAUCUAUACAUAUAAUUUUUAUAUUUUCAAACUCAAUAAUUUGGGAGUUAUUCAUGAUUUAUAUUCCUAAGGUUUGACUUAAACAUUGUCCUAAACGACUUCCUUUAUGAGUAUGGAGUGAGUACAUAAGAUUGGUUGCGAAGCACCCCGCCUACUAGCAUAGAAGAGGACCCCGAAAAGUUGGCCCUAAUUGAACAAGGUAACAAAAUAAAGAUUACAUGCUUUUGUUUGGAUCAUGUUUCAGAACUGGUUGCAAAAAAAGAUUGUUGUACUUCCAAGCCCCCCCAUGGCUCCUGCGUCCAAGCCUAGUUCUCCUAAUCCCUAAAAAUCUUGUACGUAUCAGGAUUCAGGAGAUAUCAUUUUACUAGCAAUAGGAGGUGGAACAUAGUUUUUCUAAUCUUGAUUAAUUUCUUUGGUUUUCAGCUUUGGAUGUGAGCUGUGGUAUGCUGAAUUUGGUGGGCAGCUGAUUGCGCAGUCAACUAAUCAAGUCUACUUUUGGCCAAUACUUAAGCUGGGGUUUCUUGUAACCCAGUUUUGCUGUAACUUCGGCGUUCAAAAAAAAAAGUUUUGCUGUAACGUUGCUGGUCUGCUGCACAUGUAUUGCAGUAUGAACUAUUGAUAUUCAUGUUGGACGUUUGUUGUUGCUUGUCAGACAGAUGAUUAUUGUGUGGUUUUAGAAACAUCAUUACUUCAAUAUAGUAUUAUCUAGUACUCCAAA